rnacentral:rRNA from 1 species
UGGGGAAUAUUGGGCAAUGGGCGCAAGCCUGACCCAGCAACGCCGCGUGAAGGAAGAAGGCUUUCGGGUUGUAAACUUCUUUUGGCAGGGACGAAAAAAAUGACGGUACCUGCAGAAUAAGCUCCGGCUAACUACGUGCCAGCAGCCGCGGUAAUACGUAGGGAGCAAGCGUUAUCCGGAUUUACUGGGUGUAAAGGGCGCGUAGGCGGGAAUGCAAGUCAGAUGUGAAAUCUGAGGGCUCAACCCUCAAACUGCAUUUGAAACUGCGUUUCUUGAGUGGUGGAGAGGCAAGUGGAAUUCCUAGUGUAGCGGUGAAAUGCGUAGAUAUUAGGAGGAACACCAGUGGCGAAGGCGACUUGCUGGACACUAACUGACGCUGAGGCGCGAAAGCGUGGGGAGCAAACA